rnacentral:Y_RNA from 1 species
GGAUGGUCCGAAGGUAGUGAGCUAUCUCACUUGAUUGUUCACAGUCAGUUACAGAUUGAACUCCUUGUUCUACUAUUUUCCCCUCUCCUCACUACUGCACUUGACAAGUCUUAA